rnacentral:rRNA from 1 species
UACGUAGGGUGCGAGCGUUAAUCGGAAUUACUGGGCGUAAAGCGUGCGCAGGCGGUUUUGUAAGCCAGAUGUGAAAUCCCCGGGCUUAACCUGGGAAUGGCAUUUGGGACUGCAAGGCUGGAGUGCGGCAGAGGAGACUGGAAUUCCUGGUGUAGCAGUGAAAUGCGUAGAUAUCAGGAGGAACACCGGUGGCGAAGGCGGGUCUCUGGGCCGAUACUGACACUGAGGAGCGAAAGCGUGGGGAGCGAACAGG